AGAGAUGACAGAAAAGCUUUAAAAGUGUUUCUAGGCUGAGCGUGGUGGCUCACGCCUGUAAUCCCAACACUUCGGGAGGCUGAGGCAGGUGAAUAGCUUGAGCCCAGGAGUUGGAGACCAGCCUGGACAACAUAGCAAAGCCCUGUUUCUACAAAAAAAAAAAACACACACACACACACACAAAAAGUUAGCCAGGCAUGGUGGUGCACACCUGUAGUCCCAGCCAACCAGGAGACUGAGGCACAAGGGUCCCUUGAGCCGGUGAGGUCAAGGCUGCAGUGAGCCGUCAUUGCCCCACUGUACUCCAGCCUGGGCAACGGAGACCUUGUCUCAAAAACAAAAACAAAAAAAAAAGGGUUUACAAAGCACUAUUAAGUGAAUAUGAAAAAGACGAAGUGUACACAGUUUAAAACAAUGGGUAUAAAUACAGAAAGAAACUGAAGAUGUGAAAAUUGCAGUUGGGUUGGAAUGGUGGGUUAUGGAUAAUGUUUUUUAAAAGAUAGUUUACAACAUGAGAAAAUACAAAAUAAACUGCUUGUGGAAAAAAUAGGAUUCAAACCUAUGAGGGGUUUAUUUGGGGGCUGUUGGAGCAUACAGUUCCUCCUUUAAGACAUGGACAAAAAGAAGCUCUCUCUCUUGUCUCCAUGGCAAACACCUAAAUGGAAGGUGAAAAUGCCCAUCAUUAAGCUCUCUUGAUAUUGAGCUUGUCUUAUUCUACAUACAUGGGUGUUUGUUUUACUAUAUCCUUUUUUUUCUUUUCUUUUUUUUUUUUUUUAAGAGAUAGGGUCUUACUCUAUCACCCAGGCUGGAGUGCAGUGGCAUGAUCACAGCUCACUGAAACCUCAACCUCCUGGGCUCAAGCAAUCCUGCUUCAGCUUCCUGGAAAGCUGGAACUACAGGCAACUUCCACCACACUUGGCUAUUUUAAAAAUUUUUUGUAGAGACAGGGUCUCACUCUGUUGCCCAGGAUGGAUAUACCCUAUUUUCUGAUGAAUUAAUAGAUAAAUGAAUCACAAAAUAUUCACCAGGUGCUUAUGACAUCAAAGGCCUGUGCGGAAUGACCAUCAUCCCAGCUUCCAGAGUGAGGACCUCAAAUAUGAAGACGAUACACAGAGACAAACAAGUAACUGAUGGUAAUAAGCCAGCCACAGCUAACACUUACCAAUGCUUCCUGCAGGCCAGGGAUCACUCUAUGGAUUUUAUGGGAAUACCUCCCUUUAAUCCUCAUAUCCAGCCUUGGAUGCAGCUAUAGCCAUUUGACAGAUGAGGAGACACACUCACAAAGGGCAGGCGUCUUGCCCAAGUCAUACAACCAGUAAGCGGCAAAACCUGGCUUUGAACCUACAAAUCUUCUGCCAGGGCCGGCGAUUUUAACACCUGGAUUAGUCUGUUUUCACGCUGCUGAUAAAGACAUACCAGAGACUGGGUAAUUUAUCAAGAAAAAAAGGUUUAAUGGACUCACAGUUCCAGGUGGCUGGCGAGGCCUCACAAUCACGGCAGAAGGUGAAAGUCACGUCUUACAUGGCAACAAACAAGAGAGAAUGAGAGAGCUUGUGUAGGGAAACUCCCCUUUAUAAAACUAUCAGAUCUCAUGAGAGUCACUCACUAUCACAAAAACAGCACCAGAAAGACCUGCCCCCAUGAUUCAAUAACCUCCCACCGGGUCCCUCCCACAACACGUGGGGGAAUCAUGGCAGCUACAAUUCAAGAAGAGACUUGGGUGUGAACAUAGCCAAACUGUAUCACUACUCUACUGCAGAAGAAGAGCCAUGAAAGCUGUUCACAGCAGGAGAGGCAAAAGGCCCUUUCCUCAAAGCCCAUCUGGGAAUACCUCACCCUUGUCUCUUCUCCAGACACAAUUCUCCAUUGAGAGCCGUCCUCCAAGACCUCAGGUUCAUAAGGGCUAGAAGAGCAGCUUGAAACGCUGGACUUGCCCUUUGGAGCCAGAGGUCAGGCCAGGUGGGAGCCAUCCACUAGCAGAACUCAGAGCACUGGAUCCUUUGUUCAGAAAGCAAGAGAAAACACCAACACAAUUCCUGCUACAGCUGAGGAUGAGGGCGUGGAGCAGGUCACACAGACAUACUAGCAAGCCUGCAAAGUCAAAACCGUAACAGCCACAGUAACUGACACACGUCAACAACUGACCUGGAGCCAGAUGUUGCCCCAUUUAACCUCCAAGACUCUCCUGUGAGGUGAGAACCAUGAUCAUCCCCAUUAUACAGACACAAGGCCGGCUCAGUUCUGGAGAAACAGCGUGGCUGCCAAGGCCCAGUGGAGGGAGAAGGCCUUGAAAAGUCACUUUAUAAAGCAUCCGUGCUCGCAGCAGCCAAGCCACGAGGCCGGAGCGGCUGACUUUCCAUUCGCCACACACCCCACCCAAAGACGAGAACUCUGCCACAGCCAGCCCUUGUUCUCACCCACUGGGAGCCCUGGGGAGUUGAAAUCACAGGGACAGCAGCAGGGAGCCCUUGGCAGCAAACCCAGCUCCUGGCAUCUUCCUCGGGGGCCGUAGCUUGCUGUGGUCAGCCGAGCCAGUCUGAUGCAAGAACUGAAUGACGCCCAUUCACUGUGGUGCCCUCGUGAGCUGGGAGAUGUCCAGGCUGAGGCUGGGGCAGGCAGGCUCUCUGUCACCUGCAGAGGCUGAGACAACCUCAAGGUAGGACGAGAACCCAGGGUUGAAGCUAGCAGAAGCCAGGCCCUGGGGCCCCUGAUGCAUGAUGAGAGUGAAAAGAAGGGCACAGUGAUGUAAAGAAUUCCUCCAUUUCCCCUCCCUGCCCUCAGUUACUUCCUAUCCAUACAGAGGGGGGAUGAAAACUUUAAGAUUUCACUAUUCAGCUGAGACUGGUGACUCACGCCUGAAAUCCCAGCACUUUGGGAGGCUGAGGUGGGUGGAUCACUUGAGGUCGGGAGUUUGAGACCAGCCUGGCCAACAUGGAGAAACCCCACUUCUACUAAAAAUACAAA
rnacentral:lncRNA from 1 species